rnacentral:lncRNA from 1 species
UCAUGUAAAGAGGGAAAAAUAGGCACAAAUAAAAGUGGGGCAUGGGGCUAAUUUAUGGCGCAUGGAAAGGGAGAAGCCAAACCACAUGGGACUUCUCUUUAGGUGGCUGAUCUAAAUCAAAUAAAACUCUAACUAAUUCUAAUCGUAUCAAAAACUGACUAGAUCCAAAUAGAUUGAAAUCUUAAUCUGAUUAGGAACUCAAACUAUUUAGAUUAAAAUCUAAUCUAAUUAAAAAUUAGAUGUCACCCCAUU